ACUUAAAUUGAAGAGUUUGAUCAUGGCUCAGAUUGAACGCUGGCGGCAGGCCUAACACAUGCAAGUCGAGCGGUAGCACAGAGAGCUUGCUCUCGGGUGACGAGCGGCGGACGGGUGAGUAAUGUCUGGGAAACUGCCUGAUGGAGGGGGAUAACUACUGGAAACGGUAGCUAAUACCGCAUAAUGUCGCAAGACCAAAGUGGGGGACCUUCGGGCCUCAUGCCAUCAGAUGUGCCCAGAUGGGAUUAGCUUGUAGGUGGGGUAACGGCUCACCUAGGCGACGAUCCCUAGCUGGUCUGAGAGGAUGACCAGCCACACUGGAACUGAGACACGGUCCAGACUCCUACGGGAGGCAGCAGUGGGGAAUAUUGCACAAUGGGCGCAAGCCUGAUGCAGCCAUGCCGCGUGUGUGAAGAAGGCCUUCGGGUUGUAAAGCACUUUCAGCGGGGAGGAAGGCGUUAAGGUUAAUAACCUUGGCGAUUGACGUUACCCGCAGAAGAAGCACCGGCUAACUCCGUGCCAGCAGCCGCGGUAAUACGGAGGGUGCAAGCGUUAAUCGGAAUUACUGGGCGUAAAGCGCACGCAGGCGGUCUGUCAAGUCGGAUGUGAAAUCCCCGGGCUCAACCUGGGAACUGCAUUCGAAACUGGCAGGCUAGAGUCUUGUAGAGGGGGGUAGAAUUCCAGGUGUAGCGGUGAAAUGCGUAGAGAUCUGGAGGAAUACCGGUGGCGAAGGCGGCCCCCUGGACAAAGACUGACGCUCAGGUGCGAAAGCGUGGGGAGCAAACAGGAUUAGAUACCCUGGUAGUCCACGCCGUAAACGAUGUCGAUUUGGAGGUUGUGCCCUUGAGGCGUGGCUUCCGGAGCUAACGCGUUAAAUCGACCGCCUGGGGAGUACGGCCGCAAGGUUAAAACUCAAAUGAAUUGACGGGGGCCCGCACAAGCGGUGGAGCAUGUGGUUUAAUUCGAUGCAACGCGAAGAACCUUACCUGGUCUUGACAUCCACAGAACUUUCCAGAGAUGGAUUGGUGCCUUCGGGAACUGUGAGACAGGUGCUGCAUGGCUGUCGUCAGCUCGUGUUGUGAAAUGUUGGGUUAAGUCCCGCAACGAGCGCAACCCUUAUCCUUUGUUGCCAGCGGUCCGGCCGGGAACUCAAAGGAGACUGCCAGUGAUAAACUGGAGGAAGGUGGGGAUGACGUCAAGUCAUCAUGGCCCUUACGACCAGGGCUACACACGUGCUACAAUGGCAUAUACAAAGAGAAGCGACCUCGCGAGAGCAAGCGGACCUCAUAAAGUAUGUCGUAGUCCGGAUUGGAGUCUGCAACUCGACUCCAUGAAGUCGGAAUCGCUAGUAAUCGUAGAUCAGAAUGCUACGGUGAAUACGUUCCCGGGCCUUGUACACACCGCCCGUCACACCAUGGGAGUGGGUUGCAAAAGAAGUAGGUAGCUUAACCUUCGGGAGGGCGCUUACCACUUUGUGAUUCAUGACUGGGGUGAAGUCGUAACAAGGUAACCGUAGGGGAACCUGCGGUUGGAUCACCUCCUUACCUUAAAGAA
rnacentral:rRNA from 1 species